GGCCCGGUGGCGAGAGGUCUCGCACUCCAUUGUUCCUCUUGACGUACGGCGGGGAUUCUUGGUUCGAUUCCAGGCUGGGUCA